UGGGGAAUUUUGCACAAUGGGGGAAACCCUGAUGCAGCGACGCCGCGUGAUUUAGAAGGCCUUCGGGUUGUAAAAAUCUUUUGUAUGGGAAGAAAAUGACAGUACCAUACGAAUAAGGACCGGCUAAUUACGUGCCAGCAGCCGCGGUAAUACGUAAGGUCCGAGCGUUGUCCGGAAUCAUUGGGCGUAAAGGGUACGUAGGCGGAUAAGCAAGUUAGAAGUGAAAUCCUAUAGCUCAACUAUAGUAAGCUUUUAAAACUGCUCAUCUUGAGGUAUGGAAGGGAAAGUGGGAUUCCUAGUGUAGCGGUGAAAUGCGCAGAUAUUAGGAGGAAUACCGGUGGCGAAGGCGACUUUCUGGCCAUAUACUGACGCUGAGGUACGAAAGCGUGGGUAGCAAACAGG
rnacentral:rRNA from 1 species